GGCACCUCGUGGCUCAGUGGGAAGAGCGUCUGUUUCAUUCUCAGAAGGUCCCAGGUUCAAUCCCUGCCGUCGCCA
rnacentral:tRNA from 1 species